rfam:Salmo salar isolate Sally breed double haploid chromosome ssa01, whole genome shotgun sequence.
UGCAUUCGCUACUGUAAUUCGCUCUGGAUAAGAGCGUCUGCUAAAUGACAAAAA